UACAGAGGGUGCGAGCGUUGUCCGGAAUCACUGGGCGUAAAGGGCGCGUAGGCGGCUUGAUAAGCGUGCGGUGAAAGCCCGGGGCUCAACCCCGGGUCGGCCGUGCGAACUGUCGAGCUGGAGCACUGUAGAGGCAGGUGGAAUUCCGGGUGUAGCGGUGGAAUGCGUAGAGAUCCGGAAGAACACCGGUGGCGAAGGCGGCCUGCUGGGCAGUGGCUGACGCUGAGGCGCGACAGCGUGGGGAGCAAACGGG
rnacentral:rRNA from 1 species